UACCUGGUUGGAUCCUGCCAGUAGUCAUAUGCUUGUCUCAAAGAUUAAGCCAUGCAAGUCUAAGUGCAAGCCAAAAUACGGUGAAACCGCGAAUGGCUCAUUAAAUCAGUUAUGGUUCCUUAGAUAUUACACCCAAGUUACUUGGACAACUGUGGUAAUUCUAGAGCUAAUACAUGCAAACAGAGUUCUGACUCGAGACGGGGAGGAACGCUUUUAUUAGAUCAAAACCAAUCGACGGUGCUUCGGCGCUGUUCGCAUUGAUUUGGUGACUCUGGAUAACCACUAAGCAGAUCGCACGGUCUCGUACCGGCGACGCAUCUAUCAAAUGUCUGCCUUAUCAACUGUCGAUGGUAGGUUCUACGCCUACCAUGGUUGUAACGGGUAACGGGGAAUCAGGGUUCGAUUCCGGAGAGGGAGCCUGAGAAACGGCUACCACAUCUAAGGAAGGCAGCAGGCGCGCAAAUUACCCACUCCCGGCACGGGGAGGUAGUGACGAAAAAUAACGAUACGGGACUCAUCCGAGGCCCCGUAAUCGGAAUGGGUGGAACAUAAAUACUUUGACGAGUAUCCAUUGGAGGGCAAGUCUGGUGCCAGCAGCCGCGGUAAUUCCAGCUCCAAUAGCGUAUAUUAAAGUUGUUGCGGUUAAAAAGCUCGUAGGUUGGACUUGUGUCCCACGCCGCCGGUCUGUCGCCCGUCGAUGCGACCGCGCGGUUCAUGUCAGUGGGACGUCCAGCCGGUGGCACGCUGGUCCCGUCGUCGUGCGCGCGUCGUUCGCAAGAGCGGCGCGUCGCGCGCGGCGGGUUGCCGGUGCCAUGUCACUCGUCCCGGUGCUCUUUAUCGAGUGUCUUGGCGGGCCGGCUCGUUUACUUUGAACAAAUUAGAGUGCUCAAAGCAGGCUGGAACGCCUGAAUGUUGUAUGCAUGGAAUAAUGGAAAAAGAUCUCGGUUCUAUUUUGUUGGUUUUUGUGAACCCGAGAUAAUGAUUAAGAGGGACGAACGGGGGCAUUCGUAUUGCGACGUUAGAGGUGAAAUUCUUGGAUCGUCGCAAGACGAACGGGAGCGAAAGCGUUUGCCAAGCACGUCCUCAUUAAUCAAGAACGAAAGUUAGAGGUUCGAAGGCGAUCAGAUACCGCCCUAGUUCUAACCAUAAACGAUGCCAACUAGCGAUCCGCCGGUGUUCCUCCGAUGACCCGGCGGGCAGCUUACGGGAAACCAAAGUGUUUGGGUUCCGGGGGAAGUAUGGUUGCAAAGCUGAAACUUAAAGGAAUUGACGGAAGGGCACCACCAGGAGUGGAGCCUGCGGCUUAAUUUGACUCAACACGGGAAACCUCACCAGGCCCGGACACUGGAAGGAUUGACAGAUUGAUAGCUCUUUCUUGAUUCAGUGGGUGGUGGUGCAUGGCCGUUCUUAGUUGGUGGAGCGAUUUGUCUGGUUAAUUCCGAUAACGAACGAGACUCUGGCCUGCUAACUAGUCGCUAAACAAACGACAUCCGCAUCCGUGCUGUCGGCGACACGAUGAAACUCUUCUUAGAGGGACCGGCGGCCUCGAGCCGCACGAGAUUGAGCGAUAACAGGUCUGUGAUGCCCUUAGAUGUUCUGGGCCGCACGCGCGCUACACUGAAGGCAUCAACGUGUGUUCAUCAUCCUUGGCCGAAAGGUCCGGGUAACCCGCUGAAACGCCUUCGUGCUAGGGACUGGGGCUUGCAAUUCUUCCCCAUGAACGAGGAAUUCCCCGUAAGCGCGAGUCAUAAGCUCGCGCUGACUACGUCCCUGCCCUUUGUACACACCGCCCGUCGCUACUACCGAUUGAAUGAUUUGGUGAGGUCUUUGGACUGUCGCGCGGUGGCGCACGCAAGUGCCCGUCGACGUCGGCGGAAAGCUGAUCAAACUUGAUUACUUAGAGGAAGUAAAAGUCGUAACAAGGUUUCCGUAGGUGAACCUGCGGAAGGAUCAA
rnacentral:rRNA from 1 species